rnacentral:rRNA from 1 species
UCAGUAACACGUAGUCAACCUGCCCUGGAGACGUGGACAAACCCGGGAAACUGGGGCCUAUCCAUGAUAGAUGACCUCAUCUGGAAGGAGGGGUCGUCGAAAAGGGCGCACGGGUAUGCUCUGUGCGAACCGCUCCAGGAUGGGACUGCGGCCGAUCAGGCUGUUGGCGGGGUAAUGGCCCACCAAACCUGUAACCGGUACGGGCUUUGAGAGAAGGAGCCCGGAGAUGGACACUGAGGACAAGGGUCCAGGCCCUACGGGGCGCUAUCAGGCGCUGAAAACUUCGCAAUGCGCGAAUAGGCGUGACGAGGCCUAGUCCGAGUGCUUCCUGCUAAAGGGAGCUUUUCUCGGACUGUAAAUAGGCCGGGGAUAUAAGGGGAGGGCAAGUCUGCUG